UGAGGAAUAUUGGUCAAUGGACGCAAGUCUGAACCAGCCAAGUAGCGUGCAGGAUGACGGCCCUAUGGGUUGUAAACUGCUUUUAUAUGGGGAUAAAGUGGGGAACGUGUUCCCUUUUGCAGGUACCAUAUGAAUAAGGACCGGCUAAUUCCGUUCCAGCAGCCGCGGUAAUACGGAAGGUUCGGGCGUUAUCCGGAUUUAUUGGGUUUAAAGGGAGCGUAGGCCGUUUGGUAAGCGUGUUGUGAAAUGUAGGAGCUCAACUUCUAGAUUGCAGCGCGAACUGUCAGACUUGAGUGCGCACAACGUAGGCGGAAUUCAUGGUGUAGCGGUGAAAUGCUUAGAUAUCAUGAAGAACUCCGAUUGCGAAGGCAGCUUAAGGGAGCGCAACUGACGCUGAAGCUCGAAGGUGCGGGUAUCGAACAGG
rnacentral:rRNA from 1 species